UAAAUAUAUAAACCUGGUUAUUGUGUAUUUAAAACAUAUUCUGUUUAUUAGUGCUAUUAAAGAAAUUUUCUGUAAUUUAUAAAUAAA